GUUUCCUCUUCCUUGUCAUUGGACAGGUUCACGCAUCUGCAUCGGAGUUAACAGGUGGCCUAUUGAUUGUAUUUAUUUUGGCUUAACCAGCAAUCUGAAACAUUCCCCAAACUUGUUCUCCUUUCAAUCCACUGACUCAUGUAUCUGUUUACAGCACCGGGCUGCAGACUUACCUGAGCAUGUCAGACUCAAUGGCUGUUUCCUGUAACUUCCCCCUGGAGGAAUAUGCAUGUGCCAAGCUGGAAAACUUCACCGGCGGUCAGCUGGUGGCCCUUCUGAAGUGUGAUCUGCCCGGUAACCACAGCCACUCCAGGAGGGUGUGGAAGCUGCUGCUCACCAAGCACCUCCCCGUGUUGGAAGCAGCCUUGGAUAGGCUGGCUAACAUGAGCACGGUGAUGAUUGGCCCAUCGGCCGCUGAGGUCCUGGAUGUGAUCGGAGAGCUGAGAGUGGGCUUGCUGAGCGACGAGCAGCUAAGGGACGCGGACCUGAUGAGGUUCUGGUUCUCCGGACGCCUCAAAGGGUUCCUGGCGUCCGCGUCCGGGAGAUUCCUCAACUGCCUCGUCGACAGGAACCUCAGCUGCCAGUCCUACCAGCAGAUACUGGAGGCGUUCAGCGGGCAGUUUGACAACAUGAGCCCGCAGCAGCAGCACACGGUGCUGAGACGUCUGGUCCUUCCCUUCCUCUCCCGCCAAGACCCAGACAGAGGCUGUGUCUCAGGCCUCAAUAGCACAGAGUGGCUGCAGAGGAACCUGGGGCGGUUCUCAGCCCUGCUGUCCCUGGAGGAUCUCCUCAAUCUGAACCCAGCCUUCUCCCCUCUGGAGGCCCUGCCGCUGCUGUCCCCCGGGCAGACUGCAGAGCUGCUGCUGCUGCCGGCUCUCUCCCCCGAGCCCCAGCGGGAGGUGAUCCAGGCGGUGUUCACCUUCCUCCGCGCCGCGCCCGGGGACAGGCGGUUCCUGGAGGUCCUCGACCACCUCGUCGACUUGUCUGAACAGGUGAUUUAGGCCGGGUUUGGAUUCGAAGAGUCCACAGGCAACUUAGAUUAAGAGGGCUGACCCGUACCUGAUUACGAUGAUGAUGAGGUGUAUCUGACCAAAGUCAUUGUCCAUGUCGUCCUGGAGAAAAGCUUCCGCUAAAAAUCAUGUUUUUGUUCUUCAGCUCGAGGGAAACAUCUCCUGCUCGACAUACAGAACAAUGUGAGUCAUGUUUAAAUUCUGGACAGUAAAGACGUGCAAUCGCUGCCGAGUAAUAACAGGAAGCCGUUGGGUGAACCUAAUGAACAUACUAUGUUUUUGUGUUCCAGUUUCACUGAGUUAGACCGGGCCAUGGUCGUGGUGCCUCUGCAUGUAGCAGCAGCCAUCGACCACAGCAAGCUGCGGCUCUUCAGCCACAUACCCAGAGGUCCGAUGGCUCAAAAUGAAGCUCUCAAUAGCAGCAGCAUCAUUGUCAUGAUAUAGAGCUCGGCCCUAUAUGGUGACAAUGAUGCUACUGGACAUUUUUUUGAAUCAGAAUCUAUUUGUAUAGUUGUGAUCAUGCUCAGACUAAAUAC
rnacentral:lncRNA from 1 species